UACAGAGGUCUCAAGCGUUGUUCGGAUUCAUUGGGCGUAAAGGGUGCGUAGGUGGCGUCGUAAGUCAGGUGUGAAAUCUCGGGGCUCAACCCCGAAACUGCACUUGAUACUGCGAUGCUCGAGUACUGGAGAGGAGAUUGGAAUUUACGGUGUAGCAGUGAAAUGCGUAGAUAUCGUAAGGAAGACCAGUGGCGAAGGCGAAUCUCUGGACAGUUACUGACACUGAGGCGCGAAAGCGUGGGGAGCAAACAGG
rnacentral:rRNA from 1 species